UGAAGGAAGGCUUGGAGCGGCACAGCCUGGACGUGGGGACCUUGGUGACCGUCCUCUUUGCGGAGGUGAAGGCCUACAAGACCGUCCGAGCCGACACGGGGCAGGAACGCUACAACGUCCUCUGCGACCUGCUGGAGAUCUGCUCGGAGGAGAGCGGCCGCCUGCAUGAGCGAGCUAUCAGCUUGACAGAGCUGGCCCAGGUCUUGUGCUACCACAGCUAUGCCCAGCAGACGGACUGCUCCUCCCUGGACUCGGUCCAGGAAGCCUUGCGGCUGCUGGAGUUGGUGCCCAGGAGCGCCCAGAACCGGGACCGGCUCCUCGAUGACCAGGCGCAGGCUCUGCUCUGGCUCUACAUCUGCACCCUGGAGUCCAAGCGGGAGAAGCUGCAGAGCACAGAGAGGGUCCAGAGAGCCAAAGCUCAGGGGCUGAAGAACUUG